rnacentral:rRNA from 1 species
ACGCACGCUGGCGGCGUGCCUAAUACCUGCAAGUAGAACGCUGAAGGAGGAGCUUGCUCUUCUGGAUGAGUUGCGAACGGGUGAGUAACGCGUAGGUAACCUGCCUGGUAGCGGGGGAUAACUAUUUGAAACGAUAGCUAAUACCGCAUAACAGUAGAUGUUGCAUGACAUUUACUUAAAAGGUGCAAUUGCAUCACUACCAGAUGGACCUGCGUUGUAUUAGCUAGUUGGUGGGGUAACGGCUCACCAAGGCGACGAUACAUAGCCGACCUGGGAGGGUGAUCGGCCACACUGGGACUGAGACACGGCCCAGACUCCUACGGGAGGCAGCAGUAGGGAAUCUUCGGCAAUGGACGGAAGUCUGACCGAGCAACGCCGCGUGAGUGAAGAAGGUUUUCGGACCGUAAAGCUCUGUUGUAAGAGAAGAACGAGUGUGAGAGUGGAAAGUUCACACUGUGACGGUAUCUUACCAGAAAGGGACGGCUAACUACGUG